AAAGGAGUUAAGCAAGUUGUGCCUCAUAUAAAGAAAAUCUUUUUUCCCAAUAAGAAAGAUUCUGUUAAAAGAAGCGAAGGAAUGAAAAUUCCACUAGGACCGUUAGAAGAAAAAUAUAGGGCAUCUAAGGGCAUCUGCAUCACUUUGCUUCCUGAACGCUUUUCCAGAAAACCUAUAUCUGAAAGUGAAGCUCUGGUUAUACAGCAAGGAGGCGAAUGAAAGGGUUGACCAAAGUCUCUACUAAAAAUUGUUAAAAAAAUUGUAAAUUUUAGGGAGGUGUGCCUUCAAGUAAGC